AUUGAACGCUGGCGGCAGGCCUAACACAUGCAAGUCGAGCGGAGCGGCGGACGGGUGAGUAAUGCCUAGGAAUCUGCCUGGUCGUGGGGGAUAACGUCCGGAAACGGGCGCUAAUACCGCAUCCUAUCAGAUGAGCCUAGGUCGGAUUAGCUCGUUGGGGGGGUAAAGGCUGACCUAGGCGACGAGCCCUAGCUGGUCUGAGAGGCUGACCAGCCACACUGGAACUGAGGCACGGUGCAGAGUCCUACGGUAGGCAGCAGUGGGGAAGAGUGCACAAUGGGCGAACGCCUGAUGCAGCCAUGCAGCGUGUAUGAAGAAGGCCUUCGGGUUGGAAAGUACUUUCAGCGGGGAGGCGUUACGCGGAGAAGAAGCACCGGCUAACUCCGUGCCAGCAGCCGCGGUAAUAC
rnacentral:rRNA from 1 species